rnacentral:rRNA from 1 species
GACGAACGCUGGCGGCGUGCUUAACACAUGCAAGUCGAACGGAAAGGCCCUGCUUUUGUGGGGUGCUCGAGUGGCGACCGGGUGCGUAACACGAGAGUAUCCUGACCUUGACUUUGGGAUAACUUUAGGAAACUGGGGCUAAUACCGGAUAGGCGCUCCUGCUGCAUGGUGGGGGUUGGAACGUUUCGGCGGUUGGGGAUGGACUCGCGGCUUGUCAGCUUGUUGGUGGGGUAGUGGCUUACCAAGGCUUUGACGGGUAGCUGGCCUGAGAGGGUGACCGGCCACAUUGGGACUGAGAUACGGCCCAGACUCCUACGGGAGGCAGCAGUGGGGAAGAUUGCACAAUGGGCGGAAGCCUGAUGCAGCAACGCCGCGUGCGGGAUGACGGCCUUCGGGUUGUAGACCGCUUUCGCCUGUGACGAAGCGUGAGUGACGGUAAUGGGUAAAGAAGCACCGGCUAACUACGUG